rnacentral:rRNA from 1 species
UACGGGGGGAGCAAGCGUUGUUCGGAUUUACUGGGCGUAAAGGGCGCGUAGGCGGCCAGCACAAGUCAGUUGUGAAAUCUCCGAGCUUAACUCGGAAAGGUCAACUGAUACUGUGCGGCUAGAGUGCGGAAGGGGCAACUGGAAUUCUUGGUGUAGCGGUGAAAUGCGUAGAUAUCAAGAGGAACACCUGCGGCGAAGGCGGGUGGCUGGGCCGACACUGACGCUGAGGCGCGAAAGCGUGGGGAGCAAACAGG